AGAGUCUUCUGAAACUCACAUUGGAGAAACAGCCAUAUGAGGGAUUUGGAGAUGAGGAAUGGGGUUUCUUCAAUAUUCAGGCAAGAGUAAGUACCACAAUGCUUAUGCAAUAAAGCUUCAGUUUGAGGUGAGGGUCAGUUUGAGGUGAGGGCUAGGCAGGGCUGACAUUCAGCCAACACAUGUGUAUCAAUAUAGGUUGUUGAAAAUAUUAAACUGCUUUUCCUCCAGGCUGGUAAAUGGCACUACCCUGAACCACCCAAGGCCCCUUCCCCUGGACUCCAGGACCUCCUCGACAUCCUUGCAUAAAAAC
rnacentral:lncRNA from 10 species